CAUGGGGUAAAGGGGCCUCUGCUUCAAGCUACCACACCAAGAUGAGCCCGCGUCUCAUUAGCUAGUUGGUAGGGUAAUGGCCUACCAAGGCUACGAUGAGUAGCUGGUCUGAGAGGAUGACCAGCCACACUGGGACUGGAACACGGCCCAGACUCCUACGGGAGGCAGCAGUGGGGAAUAUUGCGCAAUGGGCGAAAGCCUGACGCAGCGACGCCUCGUGAGGGAUGAAGGUCUUCGGAUCGUAAACCUCUGUCAAGAGGGAAGAAACCCUUGGGUUCAAAUAGGGCCCUUGGCUGACGGUACCUCAAAAGGAAGCACCGG
rnacentral:rRNA from 1 species